CAGAGAUGGAGCUUUCAGCUAGGCUUGACGAGAUACAGGUGCUGCAUGGCUGUCGUCAGCUCGUGUCGUGAGAUGUUCGGUUAAGUCCGGCAACGAGCGCAACCCACAUCCCUAGUUGCCAGCAGGUUAAGCUGGGCACUCUAUGGAAACUGCCCGUGAUAAGCGGGAGGAAGGUGUGGAUGACGUCAAGUCCUCAUGGCCCUUACGGGUUGGGCUACACACGUGCUACAAUGGCAGUGACAAUGGGUUAAUCCCAAAAAACUGUCUCAGUUCGGAUUGGGGUCUGCAACUCGACCCCAUGAAGUCGGAAUCGCUAGUAAUCGCGUAACAGCAUGACGCGGUGAAUACGUUCCCGGGCCUUGUACACACCGCCCGUCACACCAUGGGAGUUGGUUCUACCCGACGACGCUGCGCUAACCCUUCGGGGAGGCAAGCGGCCACGGUAGGAUCAGCGACUGGGGUGAAGUCGUAACAAGGUAACCGUA
rnacentral:rRNA from 1 species